rnacentral:lncRNA from 1 species
UUGAAACACAGAAGAGAAGCUGCCUAAAUUCAAGAGCCUUCAUCAAGUAGCUGAUGGAAGCACAAGCAGACACCACAGCUAAACACUGGUCCAAACUCCUGGAACCCAUAUCAUCUAUCUUUUGUGUCCCGUUCAACUGCUGUCUAGUGCUGCUAAAGCCAUCGCGGAUAUGUUACCUAACUUUUUUUAUUAGUGGAAGAAUAUUCCCACUGCUCCACUGAGGCCUACAGAAAGGUGAAGGGAGAAGCGUGCUGGAUAGAAAGAACAGGAGUUGCUCAGUGUGUGUCGGCAUCCAGCCACAGGUCAGCUGGGUCCUGCUCAGCUGUCACAGCAAAGAGACUACUGUGCAGAGCUGUAGCCUCAAGGGAAGCUGACUCCCUUCUCAAGUCACUGCCAGAACCUGGAAGCAACCUAGAUGCCCCUCAACUGAAGAAUGGAUAGAGAAAAUGUGGUACAUUUAUACAAUGGAGUACUACUCAGCAGAAAAAAGCAAUGGAAUCUUGAAAUUCAC